UGAGCGUUGUACAGCAGAGCUUUCAGAUCCGCUCCAGUGAACGAGUCGGUGACCGACGCCACGUGCUGAAGGUCCACGUCAUCUGCCAGAGCUAGAGACUUGCUGAGGACAGUUAAAAUCUCAAGACGGGACACCUGAAGGAAGAAAACCUAAUUUACUAAACACACACGCACAAUAACUGUUGUGCAAAUUGUGACUUUUUUCACGAACUGACACGUCUAACAAGCUAAGCUUUCCAAGCAGUCUGGACUAGAAGGAAAUCAUCGUUCUUAGACUGGGAUCCCUAAGAGGAGACACAGGUGUACCUUUGCUAUUUUGUGGGGGUUUUCUUCCACCUUUUUCCACCCUGUCAACCCCCUAACACUAGAUAAGAGGACAAAGAGUAGAGGGGAAGGGGGCGACUUCCUGCUGCUUAGGGAUACCAAGGUCCUCGGGGCAAGUUUAAUCUUUGCUGUCAGGAUAUUUAAUUUCUUCUUUCUUCUUUGCACACGACUAUUUAACAAACUGUAACCAACAACCCAAAAGAACCAAAUUCUCGGGGCCCUAACAUUUAUGUACCCUCUGAAAAGUUCCCAGAAUUCCAAACAUCACACAACUGCAGAAAGUCUCUGCAGCUGGCAAAGCCACGCCCCUGCUAGAGCACAAGGCAAAUCAUAGUCAGCUGCUGUAACAGUCUGAAGCACCUGGGGUUAAAAUGAAAGCACAUUCUUAUUUCUCUGUUUCUUAAAGAAACCCAAAAGCCAACAUUCAAUGUGAAUAUACCUACUCUGGUUAUUUUCUAGAUUUGGACAUGUGUGCUAACACAGGAGUAACAGUAAGAAACAAGUACACAUGGCCUACAGACUUGGGAGUUUUUGGCCAUGCUCUUUCAUUCAUUCAUUUAUUCCUUUCUACAUUUGGGAGCAAGGAUUGGCAGAAUGAGACAAGAAGAGUUGACCACCUUUCUCCAUGUGACCUGGCCACAUGUUCAUUGGCACACUUGCUUGCUUGUGAACUGGGGGCUUCUAACAAGAUAAGGAGUGUGGGAUCGCAGAGGACGAUUUUUAGGUUUCCUGAUUUGCUCAUAUAGAUCAACACAGCCAUUCCUGGAACAGGAGUGCAUUGAACGUGCCGCACCUGACUCAGGAUUAUUUAUGCUUUGAGCAAACAGUGAACAAAGCCUUUGCUUGCAAAACUGUCUUCUUUUGCUAUUUAAGGGUUUCACUGUGUAGCCUUGGCUGUCCUAGAACUCACUCUGUAGACCAGGCUGGCCUCUAUUUCACAGAGAUCUUCCUACCCUUGCCUCUUGACUGCUGGGGUUAAAGGCAUACACCACCACCACCACCACCAAUGAGCUUCAAAGCUAUCUUAGGAUAAUUGCUACCACAUGACCAAAGUAAAGCUCACAAGCAAAGGGUGUGGCAUCUCUGGAUGCUCCAGGGUUUUGUCACCUGAUCUGGAGGAGGGCAGUAUACACAUUUAUCCAGUCUGCCAGGCCGCAACAGGGCAGGGUCGAUCAAGUCAGGGCGACUAGUAGCAGCCAGCACAUAAACUCCUGAGGGGAAAAGACUUUUAGCAUGAUCAUGUAGUAACUUCUUUUAUAGUGUGUUUUUGUGUGAACAGUGAUUUACCCUGUAAGCCUUCUACUCCGUCUAACUGUGUCAGCAACUGGUUGACUACUCGGUCUGUAACCCCUGUGUUGUCAUGGCCUCUUCGAGGAGCGAUGGACUCAAACUCAUCAAAGAAAAGAAUGCAGGGCUUUGCAGCCUGUGCUCUGAGAGGGGAAAAAUGCUAUAUUUUAUCAGGGCUCCAGAGUUUUCAAACUCUUCAUAUACAGACACACAUACACACAGAGACACACACACUAGAAUAUAAUAUAUAACAUAACAAUCUGUGUGUACAUAAGCAAAUUACAUGCAAUUAUUCUUAUUUUCUGGCUAUUUCAAUUAAAACUGAGUUUUUUGUUC
ensembl:antisense 4833413G10Rik RIKEN cDNA 4833413G10 gene